rnacentral:rRNA from 1 species
AGUCGAGCGGUAGCACAGAGAGCUUGCUCUCGGGUGACGAGCGGCGGACGGGUGAGUAAUGUCUGGGAAACUGCCUGAUGGAGGGGGAUAACUACUGGAAACGGUAGCUAAUACCGCAUAAUGUCGCAAGACCAAAGUGGGGGACCUUCGGGCCUCAUGCCAUCAGAUGUGCCCAGAUGGGAUUAGCUAGUAGGUGGGGUAACGGCUCACCUAGGCGACGAUCCCUAGCUGGUCUGAGAGGAUGACCAGCCACACUGGAACUGAGACACGGUCCAGACUCCUACGGGAGGCAGCAGUGGGGAAUAUUGCACAAUGGGCGCAAGCCUGAUGCAGCCAUGCCGCGUGUGUGAAGAAGGCCUUCGGGUUGUAAAGCACUUUCAGCGGGGAGGAAGGCGGUAAGGUUAAUAACCUUGGCGAUUGACGUUACCCGCAGAAGAAGCACCGGCUAACUCCGUGCCAGCAGCCGCGGUAAUACGGAGGGUGCAAGCGUUAAUCGGAAUUACUGGGCGUAAAGCGCACGCAGGCGGUCUGUCAAGUCGGAUGUGAAAUCCCCGGGCUCAACCUGGGAACUGCAUUCGAAACUGGCAGGCUAGAGUCUUGUAGAGGGGGGUAGAAUUCCAGGUGUAGCGGUGAAAUGCGUAGAGAUCUGGAGGAAUACCGGUGGCGAAGGCGGCCCCCUGGACAAAGACUGACG